rnacentral:rRNA from 1 species
AUUGAACGCUGGCGGCAGGCCUAACACAUGCAAGUCGAACGGUAACAGGGAUCAGCUUGCUGAUUCGCUGACGAGUGGCGGACGGGUGAGUAAUGUCUGGGAAACUGCCUGAUGGAGGGGGAUAACUACUGGAAACGGUAGCUAAUACCGCAUAACGUCGCAAGACCAAAGAGGGGGACCUUCGGGCCUCUUGCCAUCGGAUGUGCCCAGAUGGGAUUAGCUAGUAGGUGGGGUAACGGCUCACCUAGGCGACUAUCCCUAGCUGGUCUGAGAGGAUGACCAGCCACACUGGAACUGAGACACGGUCCAGACUCCUACGGGAGGCAGCAGUGGGGAAUAUUGCACAAUGGGCGCAAGCCUGAUGCAGCCAUGCCGCGUGUAUGAAGAAGGCCUUCGGGUUGUAAAGUACUUUCAGCGGGGAGGAAGGGAGUAAAGUUAAUACCUUUGCUCAUUGACGUUACCCGCAGAAGAAGCACCGGCUAACUCCGUG